AUUUCCCUCCCAAAAAUCCCAAAAACCAAUUUCCCUCCUUUCCCAAGCAUUCGGAACCCCUCCCCAGUCUUCUCCCUCUCACCCUCUCUCAUGUAGGCGAAGAUUUCUGCGCCAAAGUUAGUCGACUUCACCGGUCUCGAUUCCAUCCUUUCCGAUGAUCGCUACUGGUACAGCUUGCAAGUCGGAGAAUUUUAGAGCUGAAGUGCAUUUUUGUUAUACUGGAAAGUCGAACGUGGUAAAAGUUUAAAAUCCAUUUCAUCAUUUAUAAUGGGAAAGCUUAACUCUCUUUUUUGUUUAGGUAUAGAUAGAUCUCUGCUGGAAUUAAUAUCAUUGGGAUGUUGUCAUACUUCUUAAAUAGUCUUCCACAAUUUAAGGAUAAGAAUUGGUGGCUCAUUAUACAAUGUUGGAAACCUUGAAAUCUCCUUGUAUCCAUUUCAAAAGAUGAGCUCAGGGUUAUUUGGUUUUACAAAGGGAUGCAUAAAUAUGAACAGGUAGGAUGAGCUAAAUCAUUUAUUCACCGAGACAAAGUUUUUGUUGUUGCAGCUUCUUGUACUCGGUAGUUGUUAGGGAGGUUGUCUUGAUAAAGCCAUUGAAUAAAAUCAUUUCAAAGUAGUCAUCCUCCUACAUUAACCCCUUUGCUUCCGUUUUCUCAGGGAAAUUAUCUAUAUGGACUCACAUUUGUUACGUUUGUUCCCUAUAUAUUGGGAAGGUCAGUUCUCAUUUCCUCAAUGGAAGUAAAAUUUUUAUCUCUAUCCCGUUUUCAUUAUUAGAGAAGAUGUUCACAUCCAUAAAUGAUUUUAUCAGAUACUUGUAUAAGAUUGUCAUACAAAUUUGGUGUUAAAUUGAUAACAUUGCCAGUUGAAACAUUAUGAACAUUUUUUUAGGUUUAAUUAUAUUUUUCGUGAUUGUUGAGCUUGCAGUUUAGGAUUCAACUUUCAUUUUGAGAGGUAUAGUUGAAAUUAUCUCAAUAUCUUUGAUCUAUAUAUACUUUGUAGGAUUGCAAUAAGGCAUUAUUAGUUCUUUGGUUCAAGUCUCAUUAUUUAGUGUAAGGAAAGGUUCUAAACCUUUUAGUUUGCUUUUGAGUUUCUAUUCCUAAGUUGCGAUUUUCAUUUGGAUUUUAACCAUUUAUUUAUUAUACUAAGUUGCGAUUUUCUUUUCGAUUUUAUCCAUUUAUUUAUCAUACUAAGAUGUGAUUUCUUUUGGAUUUUAUCCAUUUAUUUAUAUUUUCCGAUCUCUUUAACAGAACAGAAAUUAGUUAGCAUUUAGUUAAUUAGUUAGCAUAAUUAGUUAGCAUUUAAUUGUAAAUAACUACUUGUAGAAUCGAAUACAUUUAUCUUUUUUUUUCCUUCUAAUUGCUUCGAUUGAUUUUGUAUUCUCUGAUGAACCUUUGAUAAUGAGAAUCAUCAAUCAUGAUUGCGACACUGGAUGUAGGGUAUAUAUGCUGAACUACUUUAAAAUUCUCGUGUCCUUUUCUCAUCUUUAAUCUCUGCAUUUUUAUUGAGUUGUUCAUCCAUAUUCUUCUUUUCUAAUGGUUUUGUGAUUGCAUGUGUAAUUUUUGUUUGAAGAAGACAAGAAAACUUGGUGAACAUUUUGAUUUGCUUACAAAUUGUUGAAGUAUGAAUUCUCAAGUCUUAACAUUUUUAUUUGUCAUGUAUAUAGUAUAAAGUCUAGUUGGAUAAUUGUGUGGUUUAAAGUUUAGUUGGAUAAUUGUGUGGCUAUCCUGCAACAAAGAUAGUAAAUUAAGACUUAGUGUUUAUAUUUGUGUCAUGCAUAUAGUUUAAAAUCUAGUUGGAUAAUUGUGUGGCUAUCCUGCAGCAAAAAUAGCCAAUUAAGACUUAGUUUUUAUAUGUGUCAUACAUAUAGUAUAAAGUCUAGUUGGAUAAUUGUGUGGUUUAAAGUUUAGUUGGAUAAUUGUGUGGCUAUCCUGCAACAAAGAUAGACAAUUAAGACUUGGUGUUUAUAUUUGUGUCAUGCAUAUAGUUUAAAAUCUAGGUAGAUAAUUGUGUGGCUAUCCUACAGCAAAGAUAGCCAAUUAAGACUUAGUUUUUAUGUGUCAUACAUAUAGUAUAAAGUAUAGUUGGAUAAUUGUGUGGUUUAAAAUUUAGUUCGAUAAUUGUGUGGCUAUCUUGCAGUAAAGAUAGUCAAUUAAGACUUAGUAUUUAUAUUUGUGUAAUGCAUAUAGUUUAAAAUCUAGUUGGAUGAUUGUGUGGCAAUCUUGCAGCAAAGACAACCAAUUAAUACUUAGUUUUUAUAUGUCAUACAUAUAGUAUAAAGUCUAGUUGGAUAAUUGUGUUGUUUAAAGUUUAGUUAGAUAAUUGUGUGGCUAUCCUGCAGCAAAGAUAGUCAAUUAAGAUUUAGUGUUUAUAUUUGUGUCAUGCAUAUAGUUUAAAGUCUAGUUGGACAAUUGUGUGGUUAUCCUGCAGCAAAGAUAGUCAAUUAAGACUUAGUUUUUAUAUUUGUGUCAUACAUAUAGUUUAAAGUCUAGUAGGAUAAUUGUGUGACUAUCCUGCAGCAAAGGUAGCCAAUUAAGAUUUGGAUAAGUAGAUUGUUUUUGCUUGUUAUUGUUCAACAUCUGUGUUGUUCAUAAAUCAGUUUUAUUUUGGUAAAGUCUUUAGUAUUUGGAGAAUCUAAAAAGCCGUUUGGUAUUGUCUUUUUGCUUCUUUGUUUUUGUGAAAUAAGGGUUUUGUGUGAGUGAUUUGAGGGAAAGAAAAAGAUCUUAGGUGCUUAUUGUGAUUGGUAACUCUCUGUUGAGGCACUAAAUAAAGGCUAUGAGAGUGUGUUAAUUAUAGAAAUAAGGUUUGCUUAUCAUCUGUUUAUAUUUUGAAAUUGUUAAAACUGAUUACAUAGUGGAUGAUCUAAAAUGGAUUUAGAUCCUUUAUGGAUUGGACCAAAAAUUUGUCUAUGAUAUCAAAAAAUUUGUUCUCAAGUUAUCGUUGACUUAUUUGGUAUAUCUAAAUUUACACUUGGCUUUUAAGAGAAUUUACACUUGGUUUAUUUGUUCUCAAGUUAUUGUUGGUUUACUUGGCAAACUACGCAACAAACUACAUAUUUUUUGCUUAACAUAAUGGUAGAUCUCUCUUGAAGCAUUAAUGGAAGAUAGUUAAAGGAUGUUUCUAUUGAAAGAUACCUAUAUCAUUCAUGACUCUUUCCCAUGCUUGACAAUGGUGGGAUAGUUAAAGGUCCCUUUCCAAUGCUCGUUGAUUUUCAGUGUUUUUAUUUUUGGUUUGUUUGAUUUACGACCUUCCAAAUUUAUAUCAUGUGGGUUGAUUUUUUAUAUUUGUCCAGGAUUAAUGUUUGUUGUAACGAGCAUUUCAUAUUCGUAUAUUUAUAUAGUUGUCGUUCUUUUUAUCUAUAUCAUUGAUUUAUCGUAAUGAUUUUUAGCAAAGUUGUGUGACUACGUAUUUCACUAAUAUAAUGCAUGUUGGAGUUAGAAAACAAAUGAGAGUUAAUAUUAAUAUUUCUUAAUUGUUCAUUUUAUUUUGUUGAAAGAGUAGCUUUUGGGAGCAAUUGAGAAUGGAGAAUGUAUAGGGAAGAGUUUUAGCAUAGUUUCGACAUGUACGAGGUUGAUGUAAUGUGAAUAUAAAUCAUUA